AACGAACGCUGGCGGCAGGCUUAACACAUGCAAGUCGAGCGCCCCGCAAGGGGAGCGGCAGACGGGUGAGUAACGCGUGGGAAUCUACCCAUCUCUACGGAAUAACGCAUGGAAACGUGUGCUAAUACCGUAUACGUCCUUCGGGAGAAAGAUUUAUCGGAGUUGGAUGAGCCCGCGUUGGAUUAGCUAGUUGGUGGGGUAAAGGCCUACCAAGGCGACGAUCCAUAGCUGGUCUGAGAGGAUGAUCAGCCACACUGGGACUGAGACACGGCCCAGACUCCUACGGGAGGCAGCAGUGGGGAAUAUUGGACAAUGGGCGCAAGCCUGAUCCAGCCAUGCCGCGUGAGUGAUGAAGGCCCUAGGGUUGUAAAGCUCUUUCACCGGUGAAGAUAAUGACAGUAACCGGAGAAGAAGCCCCGGCUAACGUCGUGCCAGCCGCCGCCGUAAUAC
rnacentral:rRNA from 1 species